GAAAUAUCAUGAUAUGCAAAAUUAGACUUUGCUAAAUAAAUAAUUUAACAAUGCAUGCAUCCUAAGUGUGUGCUCAAUUUAUCCAUUUCUCUUUUCUUAGCAAAACCUCAUAUCUCAAACUUGUUCCAAUGUUACUCUAAAAAUUAAGAAAUCAGUCUCGUCAACUCAAAUGGCCAUUCCUAUUAAAUCAAACUAAAGUAUGAAAAAGAGCAUGUAUCUUAAAAUACUCCCAAACCCCACACGUCAAUACUCCAUGCCCACAUCUAUCUGUUUCCCAACUACUCAAAACAAAGAAAAUAAAAAGUAGUACGUAUACCCAGCAACUACGCCUAUUAAAUAAACAAUUUAAUAAUAAAAAAAAUACUCCUAAUCAGAAACAACAAAUAAAAGAAUUUAGCAAAAACUUUCAACAUCACACGUAUAUACUAUAUAUAUACUACUAGUAUACUCCUCAACCCCAUUUACCAUAUCAUGCCAAUCCACACAAACAAUUUAACCUGCAAAAUAUAAUAAAACUAAAGAAAUAAACUCAAUAUUAAACUAAAGAGAUGGAAAGGGGUGAGUAUCCUAAACAAUUAAUAAAACUAAAGGAAUGGAAAGGAUAAGUGUGUCAGUACGUAUACUCCCCUUCUCGCCAACACCCAGGCAUCUCUUCCAUCUGAAAAUCAAACCUCUCUGUUCAUCGUCUCUCUCUCUCUUUUUUUUCCAUCGUUCUCAAAAUUUUCCUCUCUCUGAAAUCAAUCUAAAAUUUAAAGUUCAGAAACUACAAGUUCAUCUCCCUCCUUAUUUCGACCAUAACUAUUCUCCCUGCCUCUCUCGGCCUCUCCUCUUGGAUUCAAAAAGGGAACAGACGGCAAUUCUCAUCCCUCUCUGUGACAAGGAAAUUUUGUGAAUUGGAAUUGCAGAGAAA